rnacentral:rRNA from 1 species
UCGAGAAUUUUUCUCAAUGGGGGAAACCCUGAAGGAGCGACGCCGCGUGGAGGAUGAAGGUCUUCGGAUUGUAAACUCCUGUCAUUAGGGAACAAAUCUUCCAAGUAACUACUGGAAGUCUGAUAGUACCUGAAGAGGAAGAGACGGCUAACUCUGUGCCAGCAGCCGCGGUAAUACAGAGGUCUCAACCGUUGUUCGGAUUCAUUGGGCGUAAAGGGUGCGUAGGCGGCGGGGUAAGUCAGGUGUGAAAUCUCGGGGCUCAACCCCGAAACUGCACUUGAUACUGCCUCGCUUGAGUACUGGAGAGGAGACUGGAAUUUACGGUGUAGCAGUGAAAUGCGUAGAUAUCGUAAGGAAGACCAGUGGCGAAGGCGAGUCUCUGGACAGUUACUGACGCUGAGGCACGAAGGCCAGGGGAGCAAACGG